UACGUAGGGUGCAAGCGUUGUCCGGAAUUAUUGGGCGUAAAGAGCGUGUAGGCGGCCAGAUAAGUCCGCUGUGAAAUCUCGAGGCUCAACUUCGAGCUGUCGGUGGAAACUGUCUGGCUAGAGUCCGGAAGAGGAGAAUGGAAUUCCUGGUGUAGCGGUGAAAUGCGCAGAUAUCAGGAGGAAUACCGGUGGCGAAAGCGACUCUCUGGACGGCAACUGACGCUGAGGCACGAAAGCGUGGGGAGCAAACGGG
rnacentral:rRNA from 1 species